rnacentral:lncRNA from 1 species
ACACACACACACACACACACACACACACACACUCCAAAGAAAUGUUAGGCAUAAUGGGUUUCAAACAAAAAAACAUUGGUUUUGCUUUUUGUUUUUUUGCAACAAAGAAUUUUUCACUAGGAGAGGCUAUUUAUACAGUUUGGGCUAUGUACCCCAUUUCACUGACCCCAGGACAGUCUUCUGGGCUUACAUACACUAAGGGAGAAGGCCAGGGUUCCCGCCACUUUGCUGUCGACCACAGAUGGGUGAGGCCUUGCUCUCAGCUGUAGCUCCUGUUCUCCCUUUGGGUGGCUCCCGUGUUAUCAGUUUAUUGACUGAGUAGCAGACAACAGAGACAGUGACAAAUUGAUGGAAACUUGGUAAAGAGAAAGGUGACACUUUUCAGUGACCUUGGUUCACCCCUAACUUUCCAUCUCCCUCCGCAGCACUGGCAUGUGACCUACAUUUUCACUUGUUAAAAUCACCCUGAUGUCCAGGGUGUUAAGAUGGAGCACACCGUAUCUAUUCAUCAGAGACACAUACACAUAUAAUCCACACAGCAAACUGAGGGGCCUAUUUUGCCUCCUGGUGUUCCCCUCAGUUGGGCUUCUGAGGACAAAUAAAGUCACUGUGGGGGCAGAACACUUGUCUCUAAGCCACUUUCCUUCUUGAUUCUUCUUUGAACAUUUCUCCAGUUUUGACACAUAGAAUUUUCAUCAUAUUUGGUUGAAAUAUUUUGGUUUGUUGCUUUCGUAUGUAAAAAGGAAAAAAUAUAUGUACUUGAGAGAUGUCUCAGUGGGUAAAGGACCUUCCAAGCAAGUGGCAGAUACUGAUUUUUGAGUCCCAGAACCCAUGUGGAAAGAACUCUGGGAAUGAUAGUGCUUGUAAUCUCAGGACAGGAAGACUGAGGUGGACAUUUCCUUGGGGCUAUGCCUACUUGGUGAGUUCCAGGCCAGGCCAGUGAGAGAGC